rnacentral:rRNA from 1 species
UACGAAGGGGGCUAGCGUUGCUCGGAAUCACUGGGCGUAAAGGGUGCGUAGGCGGGUCUUUUAAGUCAGGGGUGAAAUCCUGGAGCUCAACUCCAGAACUGCCUUUGAUACUGGAGAGCUUGAGUCCGGGAGAGGUGAGUGGAACUCCGAGUGUAGAGGUGAAAUUCGUAGAUAUUCGGAAGAACACCAGUGGCGAAGGCGGCUCACUGGCCCGGUACGUGACGCUGAUGUGCGAAAGCGUGGGGGAGCAAACAGGG